rnacentral:lncRNA from 1 species
AUUUUUUCCUCAGCAGUAUAAACCAAAAACAACGAGCCACACCUCUAACCAAAGGUCCUGAAAUUCUUUAUCCCUAAACCAAGAACUCGCAGGAAAAGCAUUCACACAUACAAAGCCACUGCUAGUCCCUAACUCGCCAGAAACAACAGUUAAACCACCUGAAAAUGACCACCAUUUCAUCGCAGGAAAAGCAUUCACACAUAUAAAGCCAUCCCUAACUCGCCAGAAACAACAGUUAAACCACCUGAAAAUGACCACCGUUUCAAGAUCCAAAGAUCGAGCUCAAAUAAGUGAGAAAUUCCGAUUACCAGCUCUGUGUCGUCCUGUUCAAGCUCGUCGAGUCCGCAUUCCAUCAGAGGUUUUUCAAUUUUCGAUGAGCUUCAAGGUCGUCAAAGUUCUCUGUCUGGGCUCCUGUUACUGUUGUUUCUUCCGGCCAAAUUACUUCAUUUGAGUUUAUUGUAACUGAGUUCUUAUUAAUAUAAUUCAGGUCAGAUUCUCACUCACGUCUUUCUUCUCAAUUUCGUAUAGUAAAUCUUGAAGACUCGGG